rnacentral:rRNA from 1 species
UACAGGGGGGGCAAGCGUUGUUCGGAAUUACUGGGCGUAAAGGGCGCGUAGGCGGAAUGGCAAGUCGGUCGUGAAAUCCUUCGGCUCAACCGAAGAACGUCGAUCGAAACUGCCGUUCUUGAGGAUUGCAGAGGAGACUGGAAUUCCCGGUGUAGCGGUGAAAUGUGUAGAGAUCGGGAGGAACACCGGUGGCGGAGGCGGGUCUCUGGGCAAUUCCUGACGCUGAGGCGCGAAAGCGUGGGGAGCAAACGGG